GUGGAUUAAUUUCAGAAGGCAGCAGAGGGCAUUGCUUACAGGGGUCACAGACAUUCAGAUCAUGGCAGAACUGUCACAGAUGUUACUUUGUGAAAACACAAAGAAUAAUGUGUUUGGAGAGAUCAGUCUUCAAUUAGCUAUAUUUUCUAGGAGCCUACCUUUACUUAGCCUCACAACAUGGGCCUUAGCUUUAGCACUUAAUCUGCACAAAUACCUGGCUUAAGUGUUAUGACUGACUGGCUAUUCAACCAAACCAUACAAAUGACCAAUUCGGUAAGAAAGCAUGAACUUCAGUGUUGAACCAAAUCAACCAACCUCCUCAAUCCAAAUGAACAAUGCUAUUCUAGGAGUCUGUGCUAGAAUAAAAUCCUAAUGCAAAGGCUGUCUUAAAAUGCUGAACCCAGAAGAAUUUGGCAUAAAUAAGACAUGGAGUUAGCUGACAUGAGAUAUUACAUUUAUUCCACUGUUGACGAGGACAAAACUGGGCCGCUAUUGUCACAGACAGGGUUUCAUCAUGUUGGUCAGGCUGGUCUGGAACACCUGACCUUGAGAUCCACCUGCCUUGGCUUCCCAAAGGGCUGGGAUUACAAGCGUGAGCCACCAGGCCUGGCAAAUUUCAAGAGAGAAGGCUGAAAAGGAAGGUGACUGGAAUAUUAAGAACUGUGAGAUAUUCUGAGGAAACUCUAAUUUGUAAAUUGGUAGAAAUGCCAGUAAUUUGUUGGGAAUUGAAGACCCUCUGUAUUCAAGAGCGAAGCUUGGCAGCUGUGCACUGUUGUUUUAUAAAUCAAUAUUACAUCUGAAGGUGGUGUUUGAAUGUUUGUGU
rnacentral:lncRNA from 1 species